rnacentral:rRNA from 1 species
AGGAUGAACGCUGGCGGCGUGCCUAAUACAUGCAAGUCGAGCGGUAAGGCCACUUCGGUGGUACACGAGCGGCGGACGGCUGAGUAACACGUAGGAACGUACCCCAAAGUGAGGCAUAAGCACCAGAAAUGGUGUCUAAUACCGCAUGUGAUCUUCGGAUUAAAGCUUCGGCGCUUUGGGAACGGCCUGCGCAUGAUUAGCUUGUUGGUGAGGUAACGGCCCACCAAGGCGACGACGGGUA